CCUACGGGCGGCUGCAGUGGGGAAUAUUGGGCAAUGGAGGCAACUCUGACCCAGCAACGCCGCGUGAAUGAUGAAGGUCUUCGGAUUGUAAAGCUCUGUGAUGGGGGAUGAACACAAUGACGGUAGCCCAAUAGCAAGCCACGGCUAACUACGUGCCAGCAGCCGCGGUAAUACGUAGGGGGCAAGCGUUAUCCGGAAUGACUGGGCGUACAGGGUGCGUAGGUGGUUUAGUAAGUUGGCGGUGUAAUUCCGGGGCUCAACCUCGGCACUACCGCCAAAACUAGUAUGCUAGAGUGCAGGGAGGGUAAGGGGAAUUCGUAGGGUAGCGGUGGAAUGCGUAGAUAUUAGGAGGAACAUCAGGGGCGAAGGCAGCUUACGGGACUGUAACUGACGCUGAGGCACGAAGGCGUGGGGAGCAAACAGGAUUAGAUACCCGAGUAGUC
rnacentral:rRNA from 1 species